AUUGAACGCUGGCGGCAUGCCUUACACAUGCAAGUCGAACGGUAACGCGGGGCAACCUGGCGACGAGUGGCGAACGGGUGAGUAAUAUAUCGGAACGUGCCCAGUAAUGGGGGAUAGCCCGGCGAAAGCCGGAUUAAUACCGCAUGAGACCUGAGGGUGAAAGCGGGGGAUCGCAAGACCUCGCGCUAUUGGAGCGGCCGAUAUCAGAUUAGGUAGUUGGUGGGGUAAAGGCCUACCAAGCCGACGAUCUGUAGCUGGUCUGAGAGGACGACCAGCCACACUGGGACUGAGACACGGCCCAGACUCCUACGGGAGGCAGCAGUGGGGAAUUUUGGACAAUGGGCGCAAGCCUGAUCCAGCCAUGCCGCGUGCGGGAAGAAGGCCU
rnacentral:rRNA from 1 species